GAGCAUAACAUGUGCCAGCUCAUUGUGUGGAAUGCCAUGGAUUUAUGAGAUAAGGCCUCUGGGACUGCGAAGAUAACGCUGUCAUAAGCAUUACAGCAAAAUCAACCAACAGCUUUGCAUUAAUUUGAUCAUUUAUACUGAAUAUUACAAAUACUAUAUCAUAAAAAGAACAUUACAUUUGAUAUUAAAAUUCGUAUAAAACGUCUCUUUCGUCUUAAAUAUAAGCAAAGUAGUGAUGAAUUAGUUUAGAAGAGUGUUUCGAAACACUAAGAAUGUUUUCUGAGUGUAAUUCCAUGACUCUCCCUACUAAAACUGCUGAAUGAUGUUGCAAAAAUAACUCUAGAUUAAUUUCUCAAAAUUUUCCAGGUUCACACAAGACAAUAAUGAGAAGUAAGUUCUAUACAGAUGUGGAAAAAAGUGAGAUCUUGGGAUCUUAAGGAACACUUUCCUUAGCAAGAAGAUAAUUGAGGAACAUUCAUUUUCAAUUUUUCACACAUACCUUAUGAGAGAAUCUUAAGCUGGAUUUCCACUUGCAAGAAAAAUUUCGCUGUCGAAAUGUUUCGCUCAAUUUCUUUUGAAUUGUUGAGCGGUCAAGUAGAACUGAUUUAUUCGGAUGGUCACAAUUCAACAGAAAUCAAGCAAAAUAUUUGGACGACGAAAUAUUCUCUGUAA
rnacentral:lncRNA from 1 species